UUAAAGUCCACCUGAGAUUUCUCGUGUUAAGAUACCCAAUUCCCACCUAAUAUGACGUUAGGUGCUGAAUUCAAUGUGGAAAGCUUAACAUCUAGAAAUUGGAACACAUUAGUAGCAUCAUCCCAAGGUGCAAGAAUAAAGAGCUACCUAUAUGAGCAUGAAGUUUAGCCGCUUCAAGAAGCUAGGACUUGGCUUUGAUAUGUUCAUUGAAGGAUGGGACACAGGCUAGUAAAAAUAGUGUCAAGAAAGAACAUUAGAGUAUGUAAACUUGUGUGUAUAUUAUCUUCAUGUAUUCACUGAAU
rnacentral:lncRNA from 1 species